GAUGAACGCUGGCGGCGUGCUUAACACAUGCAAGUCGAACGGAAAGGCCCAAGCUUGCUUGGGUACUCGAGUGGCGAACGGGUGAGUAACACGUGGGUGAUCUGCCCUGCACUUCGGGAUAAGCCUGGGAAACUGGGUCUAAUACCGGAUAGGACGAUGGUUUGGAUGCCAUUGUGGAAAGUUUUUUCGGUGUGGGAUGAGCUCGCGGCCUAUCAGCUCGUUGGUGGGGUAAUGGCCUACCAAGGCGUCGACGGGUAGCCGGCCUGAGAGGGUGUACGGCCACAUUGGGACUGAGAUGCGGGCCAGACUCCUACGGGAGGCAGCAGUGGGGAAUAUUGGACAAUGGGCGCCAGCCUGAUGCAGCGACGCCGCGUGGGGGAUGACGGCCUUCGGGUUGUAAACUCCUUUCGCUAGGGACGAAGCGUUUUUGUGACGGUACCUGGAGAAGAAGCACCGGCUAACUACGUG
rnacentral:rRNA from 1 species